rnacentral:miRNA from 1 species
GUUCGAGGCACGUUGGGAGG